rnacentral:rRNA from 1 species
ACGGACGACGCUGGCGGCGUGGAUUAGGCAUGCAAGUCGAACGGUAGGGUUCCUUCGGGGACCUGAGAGUGGCGAACGGGUGAGUAACACGUAGGUAAUCUACCCUCAAAGUCGGGGGACAACCCCAGGGAAACUUGGGCUAAUACCGGGAUGAGUGCGCUUUCGGGUGCAUAAAAGGUGGCGUAAGCUGCUGUUUGGGGAUGAGCCUGCGCUCUAUUAGUUAGUUGGUGAGGUAACGGCUUACCAAGGCGAUGAUAGAUAGGCGGCCUUAACGGGUGGUCGCCCACACUGGGAUUGAGAUACGGCCCAGACUCCUACGGGAGGCAGCAGUCGAGAAUAGUCUACAAUGGACGAAAGUCUGAUAGUGCGACGCCGCGUGAACGAAGAAGCCCUUCGGGGUGUAAAGUUCUUUUAUAUGUGAGCAAUGCUUCCUAGGUGAAUAGUUUAGGGAGAGAGAUAUUAGCAUAUGAAUAAGCAACGGCUAACUCCGUG